rnacentral:rRNA from 1 species
UACGGAGGAUGCGAGCGUUAUCCGGAUUUAUUGGGUGUAAAGGGUGCGUAGAUGGAUAAACAAGUUGGUUGUGAAAUCCCUCGGCUUAACUGAGGAAUUGCAACCAAAACUGUAGAUCUUGAGUACUGGAGGGGAAAGCGGAAUUCCUAGUGUAGCGGUGAAAUGCGUAGAUAUAAGGAAGAACACCAGUGGCGAAGGCGGAUUACUGGACGAUAACUGACGGUGAGGCGCGAAAGCGUGGGGAGCAAACAGG